rnacentral:rRNA from 1 species
ACGCGAUUUGGCCGCGUGGUUAGACAUGCAAGUCGAACGAGAGUUUUCGUUGUAGCAAUACGAUGGAAAGUCUAGUGGCGAACGGGUGCUUAACACGUGGGCAACCUGCCAAGAAGUGGGGGACAGCUCGCCGAAAGGCGGAUUAAUACCGCAUGUGAUUAGAGAGGACAUCCUUUCGAAAUUAAAGUCGGGGCAACCUGACGCUUCUUGUGGGGCCCGCGGCCUAUCAGCUAGUUGGUGAGGUAACGGCUCACCAAGGCUUUGACGGGUAGCUGGUCUGAGAGGACGACCAGCCACACUGGAACUGAGACACGGUCCAGACACCUACGGGUGGCAGCAGUCGAGAAUUUUUCACAAUGGGCGCAAGCCUGAUGGAGCGACGCCGCGUGGGGGAUGAAGGGUUUCGAUCCGUAAACCCCUGUCAUUUGCGAACAAACCUUAACCGAUAACACCGGUUAAGCUGAUUGUAGCGGAAGAGGAAGGGACGGCUAACUCUGUGCCAGCAGCCGCGGUAAUACAGAGGUCCCAAGCGUUGUUCGGAUUCACUGGGCGUAAAGGGUGCGUAGGUGGCCAGGUAAGUUUGGUGUGAAAGCUCGGAGCUCAACUCCGAAAAGUCAUUGAAUACUAUCUGGCUGGAGGGUCGGAGGGGAGACUGGAAUUCUCGGUGUAGCAGUGAAAUGCGUAGAUAUCGAGAGGAACACCAGUGGCGAAGGCGAGUCUCUGGACGACUCCUGACACUGAGGCACGAAAGCUAGGGGAGCAAACAGGAUUAGAUACCCUGGUAGUCCUAGCUGUAAACGGUGCACGUUUGCUGUAAGGGGAAUCGACCCCUUUUGUGGCGAAGCUAACGCGCUAAACGUGCCGCCUGGGGAGUACGGUCGCAAGAUUAAAACUCAAAGAAAUUGACGGGGGCCUGCACAAGCGGUGGAGUAUGUGGCUUAUUUCGAUGCAACGCGAAGAACCUUACCUGGGCCUUGACAUGCACGUAGUAGAAGCCUGAAAGGGUGACGACCCCGCAAGGGGAGCGUGCACAGGUGCUGCAUGGCUGUCGUCAGCUCGUGUCGUGAGAUUGUUGGGUUAAGU